rnacentral:rRNA from 1 species
GACGAACGCUGGCGGCGUGCUUAACACAUGCAAGUCGAACGGUGAAGCUCCAGCUUGCUGGAGUGGAUCAGUGGCGAACGGGUGAGUAACACGUGAGCAACCUGCCCCUGACUCUGGAAUAAGCGCUGGAAACGGCGUCUAAUACUGGAUACGAGAAGGGUCCGCAUGGGCACUUUCUGGAAAGUUUUUCGGUUGGGGAUGGGCUCGCGGCCUAUCAGCUUGUUGGUGAGGUAAUGGCUCACCAAGGCGACGACGGGUAGCCGGCCUGAGAGGGCGACCGGCCAAACUGGGACUGAGACACGGCCCAGACUCCUACGGGAGGCAGCAGUGGGGAAUAUUGCACAAUGGGCGAAAGCCUGAUGCAGCGACGCCGCGUGAGGGAUGACGGCCUUCGGGUUGUAAACCUCUUUCAGCAGGGAAGAAGCGAAAGUGACGGUACCUGCAGAAGAAGCACCGGCUAACUACGUG